GGGGAUGAUCGGUUUCGACAGCGGUUGUCGAAGCAGGGGAAGCGUGCCGAGGAAGCGGCCAUGAUCUCGUAAACCACAGGCCGAAAAAAAUAAUCGCCAACACCAAGCGCGAUUCCUCCCAGUUCGCCCUCGCUGCCUGAUAAGCGGCGAAGCGAACUCCUACGGGAGUGUCAGCCCGGGACUGUUCCCGACCCGGAUCCUGGCAUCAGCUAGGGAACUCAACCUCUAAGCCCGGUCACGGGGCGUAGAGGGAAACCACACAGUGACUGAGCCCGUCGGAGACUUGUCCGCGUGAUCUCCGGGGCCGAGAAAAGCGAAGCGGACUGCGCACGGAGAAGCCCUGGUUCUGCACCGUUGGACGCGGGUUCGAUUCCCGCCAUCUCCAC
rnacentral:tmRNA from 1 species